GGAGUCUAGCAUGUGCGCGAGUCAUUGGGACAUGACUAAACCUAAAGGCGCAAUGAAAGUGAAAGUUCGUCUUGCACGAACCUAGGGAGGAUGGGUGGUCGAUUUCGAUCGCUGCUCCGCACUCCCGGGGCGUCUCGUUCUCAUCGCGAGAAGAGGCGCACCAAGAGCGUACACGCUGGGACCCGAAAGAUGGUGAACUAUGCCUGGUCAGGACGAAGCCAGGGGAAACCCUGGUGGAGGUCCGUAGCGAUUCUGACGUGCAAAUCGAUCGUCGGAACUGGGUAUAGGGGCGAAAGACUAAUCGAACCAUCUAGUAGCUGGUUCCCUCCGAAGUUUCCCUCAGGAUAGCUGGCGCUCGUUGCUAACGAGUUUCAUCCGGUAAAGCGAAUGAUUAGAGGCAUUGGGGUCGAAACGGCCUCAACCUAUUCUCAAACUUUAAAUGGGUGAGAUCUCCGGCUUGCUCGAACUAUUGAAGCCGCGAGAUUUGAAUCAGAGUGCCAAGUGGGCCAUUUUUGGUAAGCAGAACUGGCGCUGUGGGAUGAACCAAACGCCGAGUUAAAGCGCCUAAAUCGACGCUUAUGGGAUACCAUGAAAGGCGUUGGUAACUUAAGACAUCAGGACGGUGGCCAUGGAAGUC
rnacentral:rRNA from 2 species